rnacentral:ncRNA from 1 species
UGUUAGGAAAUCUGGAGAUGUCAUCAAGGGCCUGGGAAGAGUUAUCUUUUCUUUUUAACGAUUUUCCCACCCCGAAAUCAGUUCAACCGGAGAUAGGGUCCAACAUCUGGAAGAGAACCACAUGUCUUGCGGUGUUUGGUGCCCCCUCGACGACCAUUGAAAAUAUGGAGAACCGAUUACCAUCCAUACUCGAUCAUACUCAUAUCUGCCUCC